UACAGAGGUGGCAAGCGUUGUUCGGAAUUACUGGGCGUAAAGGGCGCGUAGGCGGUCUUGCAAGUCCUGUGUGAAAUCCCUCGGCUCAACUGAGGAACUGCACAGGAAACUGCUUGGCUUGAGUUCGGGAGAGGGAAGCGGAAUUCCGGGUGUAGCGGUGAAAUGGACGUAGAGAUCCGGAGGAACACCAGAGGCGAAGGCGGCCUGACUGGGCUGCACCUGACGCGUGGACGC
rnacentral:rRNA from 1 species